UUAAAGAUAGUUUAAAUAGAACGGUAACUUUGGGAGUUUCAGGUGCCUUUGGGAUCUUUAAA
rnacentral:tRNA from 1 species